rnacentral:ncRNA from 1 species
CGUAGCCGUGUGCGGUGAAAGUCGCACGCACGGUUUCGGAUGGGAGGGGUGGAACAGUAAUGUUCCCCUCGACCCUAAC